UACUAGUGGUGGAGGUGGUAGUGGUGGUGGUGGUGGUUGUGCCGGUACUGGUGGUAGUGGUGGUGGUGGACCGCGGUUCGAUAACCGACAAAUCGCAUCGUUGCAAACCGGCCUGGACCGCAUCGUCGAAUACGCGUGUUCUCUCUCUUAUCCUUCAAUAAAACCGAAGGAGGAAAAGAAAGACAACAUCCUGGUAGUUCUUUACUCGUGGUCAAGGCGACACCUAAAGAAAGGAUCACUCUCAUCGACGGACGACGAGAGUUCUGCCGGCUUAAAUCGGUUCUCCUCUACAAGCGCACAUCCUACGUGCAAAUACGAAGUAAUAAGAAAACUUAGUCAAGAAAUUUCUUCAUCCAUUCGUCGUCGUUCUCUUUGGUCAAAUCAUAAAAAGAAAAAAAAGAAAAAGAAAAAGAAAAAGAAAAAGAAACAUUUCGUCGAUGGAAUAUACCUACGUCACACGUUAUUGGUUCAUCGAAGGAACAA